rnacentral:rRNA from 1 species
AGAAUCAACGCUGGCGGCGUGCCUAAUACAUGCAAGUCGAACGCGAAAGUGGAGCAAUCCAUGAGUAGAGUGGCAAACGGGUGAGUAACACGUGGGUGACCUGCCUUAGAGUGGGGGAUAACGUCCCGAAAGGGACGCUAAUACCGCAUAACAUCCCGCCUUUUAAGAGGCGGAGAUCAAAGCCGGGGAUCGCAAGACCUGGCGCUUUUAGAGGGGCCCGCGCCUGAUUAGCUAGUUGGUGGGGUAAUGGCUCACCAAGGCAACGAUCAGUA